CCUACGGGGUGCAGCAGUGGGGGAUAUUGCACAAUGGGGGAAACCCUGAUGCAGCGACGCCGCGUGUGGGAAGACGGUCCUCUGGAUUGUAAACCACUGUCCCCAGGGACGAAGAUGACGGUACCUGGGGCGGAAGCUCCGGCUAACUACGUGCCAGCAGCCGCGGUAAUACGUAGGGAGCAAGCGUUGUCCGGAAUUACGGGGGGUAAGGGGAGCGUAGGCGGGAUGGCAAGUUGGGUGUUAAAUCUACCGGCUCAACUGGUAGUCGCACACAAUACUGCUAGUCUUGAGUGAAGUAGAGGCAGGCAGAAUUCCUGGUGUAGCGGUGAAAUGCGUAGAGAUUAGGAGGAACACCAGUGGCGAAGGCGGCCUGCUGGGCUUUUACUGACGCUGAGGCUCGAAAGUGUGGGGAGCAAACAGGAUUAGAUACUCGAGUAGUC
rnacentral:rRNA from 1 species